rnacentral:rRNA from 1 species
CUCUUUAGCGGCGGACGGGUGAGUAACACGUGGGUAACCUGCCUCAAAGUGGGGGAUAGCCUUCCGAAAGGAAGAUUAAUACCGCAUAAUAUCAGAGCACUGCAUGGUGCUGUGAUUAAAGGAGCAAUCCGCUUUGAGAUGGACCCGCGGCGCAUUAGCUAGUUGGUGAGGUAACGGCCCACCAAGGCGACGAUGCGUAGCCGACCUGAGAGGGUGAUCGGCCACAUUGGAACUGAGACACGGUCCAGACUCCUACGGGAGGCAGCAGUGGGGAAUAUUGCACAAUGGGGGAAACCCUGAUGCAGCAACGCCGCGUGAGUGAUGAAGGCCUUCGGGUCGUAAAGCUCUUUGAUCAGGGACGAUAAUGACGGUACCUGAAAAACAAGCCACGGCUAACUACGUGCCAGCAGCCGCGGUAAUACGUAGGUGGCGAGCGUUGUCCGGAUUUACUGGGCGUAAAGAAUGCGUAGGUGGAUAUUUAAGUGGGAUGUGAAAUCCCCGGGCUCAACCCGGGAACUGCAUACCAAACUGGAUAUCUGGAGUGCAGGAGAGGAAAGCGGAAUUCCUAGUGUAGCGGUGAAAUGCGUAG